rnacentral:rRNA from 1 species
UACGGAGGGUGCAAGCGUUAUCCGGAUUCACUGGGUUUAAAGGGUGCGUAGGCGGGCAGGUAAGUCAGUGGUGAAAUCUCCGAGCUUAACUCGGAAACUGCCGUUGAUACUAUUUGUCUUGAAUAUUGUGGAGGUAAGCGGAAUAUGUCAUGUAGCGGUGAAAUGCUUAGAUAUGACAUAGAACACCAAUUGCGAAGGCAGCUUACUACACGAUUAUUGACGCUGAGGCACGAAAGCGUGGGGAUCAAACAGG